rnacentral:rRNA from 1 species
CUACGGAGGGUGCAAGCGUUAAUCGGAAUUACUGGGCGUAAAGCGCGCGUAGGCGGAUAUUUAAGUCUCAUGUGAAAGCCCUGGGCUCAACCUGGGAACUGCAUGGGAUACUGGGUAUCUAGAAUACAGUAGAGGGUAGUGGAAUUUCAGGUGUAGCGGUGAAAUGCGUAGAGAUCUGAAGGAACAUCAGUGGCGAAGGCGACUACCUGGACUGAUAUUGACGCUGAGGUGCGAAAGCGUGGGGAGCAAACGGGAUUAGAUACCCCAGUAGUCC